GAUGGCUGCCUAUUUACCAAACAGAGCAGUAUUGGACUCGUUCAAACUGGCAACUUUUAGAUUAGCCAUAGUUUCGCUAAAAUAGGAUAAAUAUGGUUAGCAUGAUAGCGACUUUACGGCUUAGUAGUUCAUUAGUAGAACAUGUAUGGUGAAAUGUUCCGCCAAUUACAAUCAACCAGAAAGAAAUUCUUCUCAUUCGGCAGAGUGAUACGCCUGUCAAUCACGUUGUCUCUACUAAUGGUUACGCCUACUUUUCCUUCCGGCUUGGAGACGGUAGAGUUUCAUUGCUGCAACGUUUACCGUUUAAAUAAAAAACAACUUGGCGGUGUUUCACUUUUUAAUGUGACCACGCCCUCUUUUCCAGGUAUUUUUUUUAUCUCUGAUUUCAUCCUGUGUUUGGAUGUGUGCAAAACCCCACCAGCAGGUUUGACCGCAACUGUUGUCAGCUACAUAGUGUGCAGACACACACGGAACACAAAAAUGGAGAAGAGAGGCACGUCGGCUUCUGUCACUUACAAGCGUUGGCGAAGUCCCAAUCACGGUACAGAAGGAAUUAUGGACCAUAAAGGUGAAUCCUCUAGUGAAGACAAGGGCGUUUGCUCUAUAAACUUGGACCAAGGAUGCAGGAAGUCUUCAUUGUCCUCCAAUACAGCUCACGAAACCUUUACGCUUGACGGAGCGCUGGAUGCCCUCGGCUUUGGAUGGUUCCAGUGGAAAAUGUUACUACUCACCGGUUUUGCAUGGGUGGCCGAUGCCAUGGAGAUGAUGAUCCUCAGCAUCCUGGGCCCGCAGUUACAUUGUGAGUGGAGGUUGCCCAGCUAUCAAGUGGCCUCCAUUACAUCGGUGGUAUUCCUUGGAAUGGCCUUCAGUUCCUCAUUUUGGGGCAAUUUGUCUGACAAGUACGGCAGGAAAAAGGUGCUGACCAUUUGUAUGUGCUGGACUCUUUACUACAGCAUCCUGAGUGCCUUUGCCCCUCAGUAUGGGUGGCUUUUGGUGUUGCGAGGCCUUGUAGGCUUUGGCAUCGGAGGAGCACCUCAAUCGGUGACAUUGUACUCAGAAUUGCUUCCUUCGAAGAUGAGAGGCACCUGCAUCGUCCUUAUUGCGGCAUUCUGGUCUCUGGGCUGUGUCUUUGAAGUCCUCCUGGCUUUGUGGAUCGUGCCCACUCUCGGCUGGCGGUGGUUGCUAAUCCUUUCUUCUGUACCAUUGGCCAUGUUUAUUUGCUUUUGCUCCUGGUUGCCCGAAAGUCCUCGUUUUGACCUGCUGAAAGGAAAUGAAGCAAAAGCCAUGGUGACGUUGCAGCGCAUGGCUCAAGAAAACGGCAAGGCCCUUCCACGUGGGGAGAUCGUCUGUAACAUUCAGAAUAACCGUGGGCGGAUCAGAGACCUCUUUACACCGCAGUAUUACAAAACUACACUUCUCCUCUGGUUCAUAUGGUUUUCCUAUGCCUUUACCUACUUUGGGAUAAUCCUGCUCACAACAGAGAUGUUCCGAGCUGGAGAUUCAUGUGGAGCGACGCAAGAAGCCAAAGCGGAACCAAACUGUAGUCUGGAAUGCAAGUUUUUGACCUCAAUGGACUACAGAGCCUUUUUGUGGACAACGUUGGCUGAAUUCCCAGGUCUUAUCAUUACUCUGGGGACAGUGGACUACUUGGGCAGGAAGAAAAGCAUGGCGCUGUCCUUCUUCAUCUUUUCUUUAAGCAUCCUACCCUUAUACGCUUGUGUUGGCAGGAUAGCGCUCACACUCUUCAUCUUCAUCGCUAGGGCCUUCAUCUCUGGAGGCUUCCAAGUAGCUUUUGUUUACACACCAGAGGUGUUCCCAACAGAGACCAGAGCUUUAGCCAUGGGUACUUCAAGCGGGUUGUCCAAGUGUGGCGCCUUGAUCACCCCCUUUGUGGCACAGGUGCUGCUAAGACAGUCGGUGUACCUGACCCUGGCCGUGUACUGUGGCUGCUCUCUGCUGGCUGGCAUUGUGUCCCUGUUCCUUCCCAUCGAGACCUUAGGAAGGGCCCUUCAGGAGUCCAAGCACGGGAGUGUCUGACUCUCAGAUCAGCCACACUCGCAGAAAAGACCCAGGACUGUUGGGGAAGACAUUUAAAAAAAGAUGGACUGCAUCAACCUGAGUGAUGAUGAGUGAAAAGAGGAAGGAAUCUUAAACACAGCAUCCUGCAGGAGGAAAGGUUUAAGGGAGACACAUAAUAGAAAGUGAGCUGGGCCGGUGUGUGAUUGUACAACACUAAGUGCCCACUCUUUAAAGUUAAGUCUCGAACGGACUACAGUGAAAUAGCAUCCAUAUGGAUCUUCCAUGUCCUACUUUGUUCAUAUUUCCUGCUUUGGUUUUCGUCUGGCCUUUUGGAAUGGAUUACUGCUGAAAACCGAGGUUCCAAUCUCUUUCAGGUUGAGAGCAGUUAAUGGAGGAAAAGCCUGCAGGUACGAUUCAAGUCACCAGUCACAUUUAUUGUUUACAUUGUACAGGGAGAAAAGUAUUUUUUUGAAAAUUUGCUUCUUUUUUUUUUUAAUUAAAAUCAUUCAAUCUGCUCUAAAAAUCUUACUCUUGGCACUGAAAGUUAAAGAGUUGAAAACUUAUACAACAUAUAAAAUACUUAUUUUAGAUAUGUCUAUCAGUGGCAGGCAAAUAUUUUUGGUACCAUGGCCUUCAAUGGGGCCUAUACAUAGUAAUGGUAAUGGUUUUAUUUCAUUUGAACAUGCAUCAGAUUACAAUUGAGUGCAUCCCAUAAUCAGUUCCCAGUUCCACAUGUCCAAAAGGAGUAGGAAGAAGCAAAGCUUAUUAAAUCCUACCCCUCCAUCUGGUACUUUUACAAUCAGUAACUGUUACAUUUGUUCACUUCCUGCUUUCCAUAAUACAGUUUAAGGUUGUUUUUUUUUUAAAUAAUGCAGCUCAUACCGAAGUAUGAGGUGAUAUGACCAUCCAAUGCCAUAAUGUGUACCAUAGUAAGUGUCAAUAUAGUGAUAUUUAUAGCACAUCAUGACUGGUUCAAGACUCUUCAUCCUUGUAUUUAGCAAACAUCAACUGCUUGUAUUGUUUCUUAUUGUUUGAGGUCCUUACUCAAUCCAUUCCAUAGUUUGAUUCCACAUACUGAAAUGCUAUGGCUUUUUAACAUAGUCCUAGCAUACAAGUGUUUCACAUUACUUAUGACUUACACCACGUCUUAAUACCACUGCUAUCAUGUCACAAUUAUACAAACUACUAAUAAACACGACCGCCGAUACACCCGAGUUACAAUUCUGCUGGCAACUUUGAGCUUCAUGUAACUUCAACAGCUGCCUGCAAGUAUAUGACAAUGUUAACAAGCGUUAUACAAAUCCCAAACAUCACUUGGAGCAGCUCAGAAUCA